GGGAGGGCAGGAAGGCGCGCCUCCGCAGACUGGGCCGGGAGGGGGAGGGUGCGAGCGGGAGGAACGGUUAAGCCGGGUGUCUCCUCCAAAGCUGCCCGGCCGGCAAACGAGGGCAUGGUGAAGAAAGGUUCUACUGCGCGAAGUUAGCCUACCCCCUUUUCGGGCCUGAAUGUCCUCAUUGCCCUUGACGCCUGGACCGUCUUCCUCGUCCCACACGGCCUGGGGGCUCCCUAGCUUGGGAGGGGGCCACAGUCGGGGACCUGAGGCGAUACCACAGGGCUGGCGUGAUGGCAACAUGCAAGCUCCGUCACCCAGCUUGGUCCUGCAAAGGAGUAUGGGGAUGAAGAAACUCCCAGCCAUCGGGGAUGAACACAAACUUGAUUCAUCAUGAGGACACACGAUGGUCACCUCUGCUACAGUCCGGAAGGUAAUCUUUCUGCUCCUACUGCCAGGCAGAGUGCAAACUACUUCCAGAAACACUGUGCGGUUUCUAAUAAGGUGAAAUAUACACUCACUGUAUGACCCAGCAAUCCCAUUUACCCAAGAGGUACUUAUCUAAGAGAAAUGAACCUUUGUCCACACAAGGACUUGUAGGUGAAUGUUCUAGCAGCUUUAUCAUAAUAGCCCCAAACUGGAAACAGCUCAGAUGUCCUUCAACUGGACCAUGAAUUACAAAUGGGUUCAUCUAAGCAGGCGAAUUCUGCUCUGUAAUAAAAAGAACUGGACUCUUGAUAUAUACAACAACACGAACGCCUCUCAAAAGCGUCAUACUGAGUGAAAGAAUCCAGAUGGGAAAAGCUAGAUGAUUUGUAUUUAUAUGGAAUUUAAGAAAAAGCAAAACUAUAAUGGUGUGAAGAAGUUCCCUGGUUGGGCUGGGGAAAGUGGGAGGGAGUGACUAAAAGGGGCACAGGGGAAUUUUCUGAGGUGAUAUGAUUAUUCUGUAACAUGACUGUGGUGGUGGUUACAUGAAAAUAUACACUUCUUCUGUCUUAUUGAAUUGUGCUUAAAAUUAAAGAAUUUCAUUGUGU